rnacentral:rRNA from 1 species
CCUACGGGUGGCAGCAGUGAGGAAUAUUGGUCAAUGGGCGCGAGCCUGAACCAGCCAAAUCGCGUGAAGGAUGAAGGUUCUAUGAAUUGUAAACUUCUUUUAUACGGGAAUAAAGUGUGGGACGUGUCCUAUUUUGUAUGUAUCUUAUGAAUAAGGAUCGGCUAACUCCGUGCCAGCAGCCGCGGUAAUACGGAGGAUUCGAGCGUUAUCCGGAUUUAUUGGGUUUAAGGGGUGCGUAGGCGGCCUUUUAAGUCAGCGGUGAAAGUCUGUGGCUCAACCACGGAAUUGCCGUUGAUACUGGUGGGCUAGAGAAUGUUUGAGGCAGGCGGAAUGCAUGGUGUAGCGGUGAAAUGCUUAGAGAUCACACAGAACACCGAUUGCGAAGGCAGCUUGCCAAGCCAUGUCUGACGCUGAUGCACGAAAGCGUGGGGAUCAAACAGGAUUAGAUACCCUGGUAGUC